rnacentral:rRNA from 1 species
GUUAUCGUUUAUUUGAUAGUACCUUACUACUUGGAUACCCGUGGUAAUUCUAGAGCUAAUACAUGCAAAAAACCCCAACUUCGGAAGGGGUGUAUUUAUUAGAUAAAAAACCCAAUGCCCUUCGGGGCUCUUUGGUGAUUCAUGAUAACUUAACGGAUCGCAUGGCCUUGCGCCGGCGACGGUUCAUUCAAAUUUCUGCCCUAUCAACUUUCGAUGGUAAGGUAUUGGCUUACCAUGGUUUCAACGGGUAACGGAUUUUUAGGGAAAGAUCCCGGAGAGGGAGCCUGAGAAACGGCUACCACAUCCAAGGAAGGCAGCAGGCGCGCAAAUUACCCAAUCCCGACACGGGGAGGUAGUGACAAUAAAUACUGAUACAGGGCUCUUUUGGGUCUUGUAAUCGGAAUGAGUACAAUUUAAAUACCUUAACGAGGAACAAUUGGAGGGCAAGUCUGGUGCCAGCAGCCGCGGUAAUUCCAGCUCCAAUAGCGUAUAUUAAAGUUGUUGCAGUUAAAAAGCUCGUAGUUGAACCUUGGGCCUGGCUGGCCGGUCCGCCUCACCGCGUGUACUGGUCCGGCCGGGCCUUUCCUUCUGGAGAACCGCAUGCCCUUCACUGGGUGUGUCGGGGAACCAGGACUUUUACUUUGAGAAAAUUAGAGUGUUCAAAGCAGGCCUUUGCUCGAAUACGUUAGCAUGGAAUAAUAGAAUAGGACGUGCGGUCCUAUUUUGUUGGUUUCUAGAACCGCCGUAAUGAUUAAUAGGGAUAGUCGGGGGCGUCAGUAUUCAAUUGUCAGAGGUGAAAUUCUUGGAUCUAUUGAAGACUAACUACUGCGAAAGCAUUCGCCAAGGAUGUUUUCAUUAAUCAGUGAACGAAAGUUAGGGGAUCGAAGACGAUCAGAUACCGUCGUAGUCUUAACCGUAAACUAUGCCGAC